CCUACGGGAGGCAGCAGUGAGGAAUAUUGGUCAAUGGACGAGAGUCUGAACCAGCCAAGUAGCGUGAAGGAUGACUGCCCUAUGGGUUGUAAACUUCUUUUAUACAGGAAUAAAACGAGGCACGUGUGCCUUUUUGCAUGCACUUUAUGAAUAAGGAUCGGCUAACUCCGUGCCAGCAGCCGCGGUAAUACGGAGGAUCCGAGCGUUAUCCGGAUUUAUUGGGUUUAAAGGGAGCGUAGAUGGGUUGUUAAGUCAGUUGUGAAAGUUUGCGGCUCAACCGGAAAAUUGCAAUUGAUACUGGCAGUCUUGAGUACAGUUGAGGUAAGCGGAAUGCGUGGUGUAGCGGUGAAAUGCUUAGAUAUCACGAAGAACCCCGAUUGCGAAGGCAGCUUACUAAACUGUGACUGACAUUGAUGCUCGAAAGUGUGGGUAGCAAACAGGAUUAGAUACCCCAGUAGUC
rnacentral:rRNA from 1 species